rnacentral:lncRNA from 1 species
AUGACUUGUAAUGUGAAUGCUCCAAUCAGCCAGAUAAAUUGAAUUCAAAUCCUGCUCUUCACUUAGUUAUUUAUGGCAAGACUAUUUCACUUAUUUUGAUUUUUUUCUUAGUAUUCUGAGAAAUAUUUUAUAGUUUACUCUGCAUUUCACAUCUCAUUGCUCACAAUAUAACUGUGAAGUCGUCAAGGCAAAUAUUUGCUAAUAAAAAAAGUAUUCCAGUGUCUUUCUGAGUCCCUCUCUUUAAAUGUGUUGCAGUUGAAGUAUUGUAGCCAGUUUUUUUAGGUUUUUUCAUUGAUUUAUGGAUAGAAAAUUAGAUAUCCAAGUGGUUAGAUUUCUAGACUAACUUCAUUAAAAGCUUUAAGUUCUGAAAUUUCUUGACACUUUUGCCAAUUGGUUACUUAAUAUGUUUUGAUUAAAAUAUCUUGUGGCCAAAACUAGACAACUUAAAAUCCCAGUCCUUUUAGAGUACAAGAGUAUAAGCAGAUAGAAAAAGCUUGAGAAAUUUAAUGCAGAUGUUAACUUGAGCCCGGCCAUUUAAAAAGAUAAUUCAGUACAAAAUUUGUGUAAGUAUAAAGAAAAGUAAAUAAGUUAAUUGGGAACAAGAUUCUCACAAUUAAUGUAACAUGUCCGGUUUUGGAUGCACUUUAGAAAACAAGGGCAUGACUAAUUACAGAUUUGUAUUCUGGAAGCAUAUCACAUGCUAUUUCUGAGGCUGCCCCUUCCUGAAGAAAACCCAAGUUUUCUGUUUUGCUCUUUGGAGUAAAUUCACUUGGUUAAGAGUAAAGCACCUAGGUUUCCUCUGACAAUUUACCUUUUUAGAAUGAGGGUGGGGCCUGCAGAACUUUGGUACAUUAGAUAAUUCACUCCUCAGAUACUUUAUCUGUGUUUUACAAACACUAGUCAUAUAUUUCAGUUGCCAAACGACCGCUGGCUUAAUGGGUUGGUUAUACCAGCCAGUUGGGGUACCACCUUCUCUUCUACAAUGCCUAGAAUUGUCCUCCAAUGAUCAGCCCAUUCAUCCGGUCAGUAGGCUGACAGCAGAUACUCGUGGUCAACUACGUCAUUAAAUGCGGACCAAGCACUAGAGCUCAGGUCCCCUUGGUGGAUCUGGGAGACACCCUUGAGUGGUUGCUGG